rnacentral:rRNA from 1 species
ACGGAAGGCAGCAGUGAGGAAUAUUGGUCAAUGGGCGGAAGCCUGAACCAGCCAAGUCGCGUGAAGGAUGAAGGUAUUAUGUAUUGUAAACUUCUUUAGCAGUGGAGUAAUAAGGGAGUCGUGACUCCUGAUGCAAGUACACUGAAAAUAAGGAUCGGCUAACUCCGUGCCAGCAGCCGCGGUAAUACGGAGGAUCCGAGCGUUAUCCGGAUUUAUUGGGUUUAAAGGGUGCGUAGGCGGACGCGUAAGUCAGUGGUGAAAUAUGUCGGCUCAACCGGCAGGCUGCCAUUGAUACUGCGCGACUAGAGUCCAAACGGCGCCGGCGGAAUAUGUCAUGUAGCGGUGAAAUGCUUAGAUAUGACAUAGAACACCGAUCGCGAAGGCAGCUGGCGAGGAUGCGACUGACGCUGAGGCACGAAGGCGUGGGGAUCGAACAGGAUUAGAUACCCUGGUA